rnacentral:rRNA from 1 species
CACGUAGGCGGAUCGUUAAGUGAGGGGUGAAAUCCCAGGGCUCAACCCUGGAACUGCCCUUCAUACUGGCGAUCUCGAGUCCGGAAGAGGUGAGUGGAACUCCUAGUGUAGAGGUGGAAUUCGUAGAUAUUAGGAAGAACACCAGUGGCGAAGGCGGCUCACUGGUCCGGUACUGACGCUGAGGUGCGAAAGCGUGGGGAGCAAACA